rnacentral:rRNA from 1 species
AUUGAACGCUGGCGGCAUGCUUUACACAUGCAAGUCGAACGGUAACAGGCCGCUAGGUGUUGACGCGUGGCGCACGGGUGUGUGAUGCAUAGGAAAGCGUCCAGACUUGGGGGGUAACUAUACGCAAGAGUAGCUAAUACACCAUACGAGCUAUGCGUGAGAGCGGGGGGCCGUAAGACCUCGUGCGCUUGGGGAGGGCGAUGUCGGAUUAGGUAGUUGGUGGGGUAAAGGCUCACCAAGCCAACGAUCUGUAGCUGGUUUGAGAGGACGACCAGCCACACUGGGACUGAGACACGGCCCAGACUCCUACGGGAGGCAGCAGUGGGGAAUUUUGGACAAUGGGCGCAAGCCUGAUCCAGCCAUGCCGCGUGUGGGAUGAAGGCCUUCGGGUUGUAAAGUGCUUUUGUACGGAACGAAACGGCGCUGGUUAAUACCCGGGGGAAAUGACGGUACCGUAAGAAUAAGCACCGGCUAACUACGUG